rnacentral:rRNA from 1 species
ACAGGGCGAGAAACCUUCGCAAUGUGCGAAAGCAGGACAAGGUUAAUCCGAGUGUCUCCUGCUAAAGGAGUCUUUUGUCAGUUGUAGAAUCACUGGUGAAUAAGGGGUGGGCAAGUUCUGGUGUCAGCCGCCGCGGUAAAACCAGCACCUCGAGUGGUCAGGAGGUUUAUUGGGCCUAAAGCAUCCGUAGCCGGUUGCAUAAGUUUUCGGUUAAAUCUAUGCGCUUAACGUAUAGGCCGCCGAAAAUACUGUGCAGCUAGGGAGUGGGAGAGGUACACGGUACUCGAUAGGAAGGGGUAAAAUCCUUUGAUCUAUUGAAGACCACCUGUGGCGAAGGCGGUGUACCAGAACACGUUCGACGGUGAGGGAUGAAAGCUGGGGGAGCAAACCGGAUUAGAUACCCGGGUAGUCCCAGCUGUAAACGAUGCAGACUCGGUGAUGCAUUGGCUUGUGGCCAAUGCAGUGCCGCAGGGAAGCCGUUAAGUCUGCCGCCUGGGAAGUACGUACGCAAGUAUGAACUAAAGGAUUGGCGGGGGAGCACCACAAGGGGUGAAGCCUGCGUUCAAUUGGAGUCNACGC